rnacentral:rRNA from 1 species
GAUGAACGCUGGCGGCACGCCUUAUACAUGCAAGUCAAACGGCACCUUCGGGUGCAGUGGCGAACGGGUGAGUAACGCGUAGGAACAUACCUCAAGAUGGGCAUAACUAGCCGAAAGGUUAGCUAAUUCCCAAUGUGCCCGCAAGGGUAAAGCAGCAAUGCGCUUGAGAAGUGGCCUGCGUCCCAUCAGCUAGUUGGUAAGGUAAUGGCUUACCAAGGCUAGACGGGUAGCUGAUCGUUACGGUAA